CCUACGGGAGGCUGCAGUGAGGAAUAUUGGUCAAUGGACGAAAGUCUGAACCAGCCAAGUAGCGUGAAGGAUGACUGCCCUAUGGGUUGUAAACUUCUUUUAUCAAGGGAUAAAACGAGGCACGUGUGCCUUUUUGCAUGUACUUUAUGAAUAAGGAUCGGCUAACUCCGUUCCAGCAGCCGCGGUAAUAAGGAGGAUCCGAGCGUUAUCCGGAUUUAUUGGGUUUAAAGGGAGCGUAGGUGGGUGGUUAAGUCAGUUGUGAAAGUUUGGGGCUCAACCGUAGAAGUGCAUUUGAUACUGGCAGGCUUGAGUACAGUUGAGGUAGGCAGAAUUCGUGGUGUAGCGGUGAAAUGCGUAGAUAUCACGAAGAACCCCGAUUGCGAAGGCAGCUUACUGAACUGUGACUGACGUUGAUGCUCGAAAGUGUGGGUAUCAAACAGGAUUAGAUACCCCGGUAGUC
rnacentral:rRNA from 1 species